GAUGAACGCUGGCGGCGUGCUUAACACAUGCAAGUCGAACGGUGAAGCAGGAGCUUGCUCUUGUGAUCAGUGGCGAACGGGUGAGUAACACGUGAGCAACCUGCCCCUGACUCUGGGAUAAGCGCUGGAAACGGCGUCUAAUACUGGAAAUGUGAUGUGACCGCAUGGUCUGCAUCUGGAAAGAAUUUCGGUUGGGGAUGGGCUCGCGGCCUAUCAGCUUGUUGGUGAGGUAAUGGCUCACCAAGGCGUCGACGGGUAGCCGGCCUGAGAGGGUGGCCGGCCACACUGGGACGGAGACACGGCCCAGACUCCUACGGGAGGCAGCAGUGGGGAAUAUUGCACAAUGGGCGGAAGCCUGAUGCAGCAACGCCGCGUGAGGGAUGACGGCCUUCGGGUUGUAAACCUCUUUUAGCAGGGAAGAAGCGAAAGUGACGGUACCUGCAGAAAAAGCACCGGCUAACUACGUGCCAGCAGCCGCCGUAA
rnacentral:rRNA from 1 species